GAGGAAAAGAAACUAACAAGGAUUCCCCUAGUAACGGCGAGUGAACCGGGAAGAGCUCAAAUUUGAAAUCUGGCGUCCUCAGGGCGUCCGAGUUGUAAUCUAUAGAGGCGUUUUCCGUGCCGGACCGUGUCCAAGUUCCUUGGAACAGGAUAUCAAAGAGGGUGACAAUCCCGUACUUGACACGACGACCGGUGCUCUGUGAUACGUCUUCUACGAGUCGAGUUGUUUGGGAAUGCAGCUCAAAAUGGGUGGUGAGUUCCAUCUAAAGCUAAAUAUUGGCGAGAGACCGAUAGCGAACAAGUACCGUGAGGGAAAGAUGAAAAGCACUUUGGAAAGAGAGUUAAACAGUACGUGAAAUUGUUGAAAGGGAAACGAUUGAAGUCAGUCGUGACCGAGAGGCUCAGCCGGUUCUGCCGGUGUAUUCCCCUCGGUCGGGUCAACAUCAGUUUUGUCCGGUGGAUAAGGACGGUAGGAAGGUGGCACCCUCGGGUGUGUUAUAGCCUGCCGUCGCAUACAUCGGGUGAGACUGAGGAACGCAGCUCGCCUUUAUGGCCGGGGUUCGCCCACGUCCGAGCUUAGGAUGUUGACAUAAUGGCUUUAAACGACCCGUCUUGA
rnacentral:rRNA from 1 species